GGGUUGUGAGGUUAAGCGACUAAGCGUACACGGUGGAUGCCCUGGCAGUCAGAGGCGAUGAAGGACGUGCUAAUCUGCGAAAAGCGCCGGCGAGGUGAUAUGAACCUUUGACCCGGCGAUGUCCGAAUGGGGAAACCCAGUGUGUUCCGACACACUAUCGUUAACUGAAUACAUAGGUUAACGAGGCGAACCGGGGGAACUGAAACAUCUAAGUACCCCGAGGAAAAGAAAUCAACCGAGAUUCCCCCAGUAGCGGCGAGCGAACGGGGAGCAGCCCAGAGUCUGAAUCAGCUUGUGUGUUAGUGGAAGCGUCUGGAAAGUCGCACGGUACAGGGUGAAAGUCCCGUACACGAAAGCACACAGGUUGUGAACUCGAAGAGUAGGGCGGGACACGUGGUAUCCUGUCUGAAUAUGGGGGGACCAUCCUCCAAGGCUAAAUACUCCUGACUGACCGAUAGUGAACCAGUACCGUGAGGGAAAGGCGAAAAGAACCCCGGCGAGGGGAGUGAAAAAGAACCUGAAACCGUGUACGUACAAGCAGUGGGAGCCUCUUUUAUGGGGUGACUGCGUACCUUUUGUAUAAUGGGUCAGCGACUUAUAUUCUGUAGCAAGGUUAACCGUAUAGGGGAGCCGAAGGGAAACCGAGUCUUAACUGGGCGUUAAGUUGCAGGGUAUAGACCCGAAACCCGGUGAUCUAGCCAUGGGCAGGUUGAAGGUUGGGUAACACUAACUGGAGGACCGAACCGACUAAUGUUGAAAAAUUAGCGGAUGACUUGUGGCUGGGGGUGAAAGGCCAAUCAAACCGGGAGAUAGCUGGUUCUCCCCGAAAGCUAUUUAGGUAGCGCCUCGUGAACUCAUCUUCGGGGGUAGAGCACUGUUUCGGCUAGGGGGCCAUCCCGGCUUACCAACCCGAUGCAAACUACGAAUACCGAAGAAUGUUAUCACGGGAGACACACGGCGGGUGCUAACGUCCGUCGUGAAGAGGGAAACAACCCAGACCGCCAGCUAAGGUCCCAAAGUCAUGGUUAAGUGGGAAACGAUGUGGGAAGGCACAGACAGCCAGGAUGUUGGCUUAGAAGCAGCCAUCAUUUAAAGAAAGCGUAAUAGCUCACUGGUCGAGUCGGCCUGCGCGGAAGAUGUAACGGGGCUAAACCAUGCACCGAAGCUGCGGCAGCGACACUAUGUGUUGUUGGGUAGGGGAGCGUUCUGUAAGCCGUUGAAGGUGUCCUGUGAGGGGUGCUGGAGGUAUCAGAAGUGCGAAUGCUGACAUAAGUAACGAUAAAGCGGGUGAAAAGCCCGCUCGCCGGAAGACCAAGGGUUCCUGUCCAACGUUAAUCGGGGCAGGGUGAGUCGACCCCUAAGGCGAGGCCGAAAGGCGUAGUCGAUGGGAAACAGGUUAAUAUUCCUGUACUUGGUGUUACUGCGAAGGGGGGACGGAGAAGGCUAUGUUAGCCGGGCGACGGUUGUCCCGGUUUAAGCAUGUAGGCGGAACGAUUAGGUAAAUCCGGUCGUUUAUUAACGCUGAGGUGUGAUGACGAGGCACUACGGUGCUGAAGUAACAAAUGCCCUGCUUCCAGGAAAAGCCUCUAAGCAUCAGGUAACAUCAAAUCGUACCCCAAACCGACACAGGUGGUCAGGUAGAGAAUACCAAGGCGCUUGAGAGAACUCGGGUGAAGGAACUAGGCAAAAUGGUGCCGUAACUUCGGGAGAAGGCACGCUGAUAUGUAGGUGAAGCCCCUGCGGGUGGAGCUGAAAUCAGUCGAAGAUACCAGCUGGCUGCAACUGUUUAUUAAAAACACAGCACUGUGCAAACACGAAAGUGGACGUAUACGGUGUGACGCCUGCCCGGUGCCGGAAGGUUAAUUGAUGGGGUUAGCGGCAACGCGAAGCUCUUGAUCGAAGCCCCGGUAAACGGCGGCCGUAACUAUAACGGUCCUAAGGUAGCGAAAUUCCUUGUCGGGUAAGUUCCGACCUGCACGAAUGGCGUAAUGAUGGCCAGGCUGUCUCCACCCGAGACUCAGUGAAAUUGAACUCGCUGUGAAGAUGCAGUGUACCCGCGGCAAGACGGAAAGACCCCGUGAACCUUUACUAUAGCUUGACACUGAACACUGGUCCUUGAUGUGUAGGAUAGGUGGGAGGCUUUGAAGCGUGGACGCCAGUCUGCGUGGAGCCAACCUUGAAAUACCACCCUUUAAUGGCUGGUGUUCUAACGUAGACCCGUGAUCCGGGUUGCGGACAGUGUCUGGUGGGUAGUUUGACUGGGGCGGUCUCCUCCCAAAGAGUAACGGAGGAGCACGAAGGUUAGCUAAUCCUGGUCGGACAUCAGGAGGUUAGUGCAAUGGCAUAAGCUAGCUUGACUGCGAGAGUGACGGCUCGAGCAGGUGCGAAAGCAGGUCAUAGUGAUCCGGUGGUUCUGAAUGGAAGGGCCAUCGCUCAACGGAUAAAAGGUACUCCGGGGAUAACAGGCUGAUACCGCCCAAGAGUUCAUAUCGACGGCGGUGUUUGGCACCUCGAUGUCGGCUCAUCACAUCCUGGGGCUGAAGUAGGUCCCAAGGGUAUGGCUGUUCGCCAUUUAAAGUGGUACGCGAGCUGGGUUUAGAACGUCGUGAGACAGUUCGGUCCCUAUCUGCCGUGGGCGCUGGAGAAUUGAGGGGGGCUGCUCCUAGUACGAGAGGACCGGAGUGGACGCAUCACUGGUGUUCGGGUUGUCAUGCCAAUGGCACUGCCCGGUAGCUAAAUGCGGAAGAGAUAAGUGCUGAAAGCAUCUAAGCACGAAACUUGCCCCGAGAUGAGUUCUCCCUGAGACUUUAAGUCUCCUGAAGGAACGUUGAAGACUACGACGUUGAUAGGUCGGGUGUGUAAGCGCAGCGAUGCGUUGAGCUAACCGAUACUAAUGAACCGUGAGGCUUAACCUUACAACGCCGAAG
rnacentral:rRNA from 1 species